rnacentral:rRNA from 1 species
CACGUAGGAGGCGAGCGUUUGUCCGGAAUCAUUGGGCGUAAAGAGCGCGCAGGCGGCUUGGCAAGUCGGGUGUGAAAUCCCGGGGCUCAACCCUUGAAUGCCGGUUGAUACUGUCGGGCUAGAGUCCGGAAGAGGCGAGUGGAAUUCCCGGUGUAGCGGUGAAAUGCGCAGAUAUCGGGAGGAACACCAAUGGCGAAGGCAGCUCGCUGGGACGGUACUGACGCUGAGACGCGAAAGCGUGGGGAGCAAACAGGG